rnacentral:RNase_P_RNA from 1 species
GGAGCGCGCCGGGCGAUCGCCCCUUUUCGUAGGGGAGGAAAGUCCGGGCUCCAAAGGGCAGGGUGGCCGCUAACGGCGGCGCGGCGUAAUCCGCGGAAAGUGGCACAGAAAACAUACCGCCCGCAUCGCGGGUAAGGGUGAAAUGGCGGGGUAAGAGCCCACCGGCGCACGGGUAACCGGGCGCGCUUGCCAAACCCCACCCGGAGCAAGGCCAAAUAGGAGGGUGAGUCGCCCGCUCGAUACCCUCGGGUACGGCUGCUUGAGCCGGCGAGCAAUCGUCCGGCCCAGAGGAAUGAUCGCCACCCGAAAGGGCACAGAACCCGGCUUACAGGCGCACUCCGGCA